rnacentral:rRNA from 1 species
GAUGAACGCUGGCGGCGUGCCUAACACAUGCAAGUCGAACGGACUUACAUUGAAGCCUAGCGAUAUGUAAGUUAGUGGCGGACGGGUGAGUAACGCGUGGGUAACCUGCCUUGUACUGGGGGACAACAGUUGGAAACGACUGCUAAUGCCGCAUAAGCGCACAGCUUCGCAUGAAGCAGUGUGAAAAACUCCGGUGGUACAAGAUGGACCCGCGUCUGAUUAGCUGGUUGGUGAGGUAACGGCCCACCAAGGCGACGAUCAGUAGCCGGCCUGAGAGGGUGAACGGCCACAUUGGGACUGAGACACGGCCCAAACUCCUACGGGAGGCAGCAGUGGGGAAUAUUGCACAAUGGGGGAAACCCUGAUGCAGCAACGCCGCGUGAGUGAAGAAGUAUUUCGGUAUGUAAAGCUCUAUCAGCAGGAAAGAAAAUGACGGUACCUGACUAAGAAGCCC